UCUUUCUCUUCUCUUUCUCUUUCUAUUUGUUGUUUGUUGUCUUUCUUUGAGUUUGUGGUUGUUUCGUCCCUUCAAACAACGUGAAAAAUGCCAGCUCUUCAAGGACAAGCUGCCAAAAAGGAAGAAAACCAGGAAGUUGAAGAGGGAGUGAGCAGAUAUUAUUCUCAAAAAAUUGAUGAGUAUGAGAGUCAAUUAAAAGCAAAGAAGCAAGA
rnacentral:ribozyme from 13 species